rnacentral:rRNA from 1 species
CCUACGGGAGGCAGCAGUGGGGAAUAUUGGACAAUGGGGGCAACCCUGAUCCAGCCAUGCCGCGUGUGUGAAGAAGGCCCUCGGGUUGUAAAGCACUUUCAGUGAGGAAGAACGCCUGGUGGUUAAUACCCAUCAGGAAAGACAUCACUCACAGAAGAAGCACCGGCUAACUCCGUGCCAGCAGCCGCGGUAAUACGGAGGGUGCGAGCGUUAAUCGGAAUUACUGGGCGUAAGGCGCGCGUAGGUGGCUUGAUAAGCCGGUUGUGAAAGCCCCGGGCUCAACCUGGGAACGGCAUCCGGAACUGUCAAGCUAGAGUGCAGGAGAGGAAGGUAGAAUUCCCGGUGUAGCGGUGAAAUGCGUAGAGAUCGGGAGGAAUACCAGUGGCGAAGGCGGCCUUCUGGACUGACACUGACACUGAGGUGCGAAAGCGUGGGUAGCAAACAGGAUUAGAUACCCUGGUAGUC